ensembl:lncRNA
GCUGACUUUGAACCCGGGCAGGAAGGCCCUAGAGCCUGGCUCUUAACGAGCUGCAGCUGCCUGGCAGCCCAGGCUCAUCAGCAGGGCAAGGGGACAUGCGGGCUGAGACAGGGGCUCUCAGAGGGCGGACUUUUCUGUUCUUUUUUCUGUUUGCCUGGAAGCAGAGGAAUGAACUAACUGAAGGUGAGAAGACUCGGGUUUAAGCCCCGCCUCGUGCACUUGCAACUGUGUAACCGUGACCCCUCGCAGCCUCAGUUUCCCCAUCUGUAAGGUGGGGAAAGAAUCCUUAUGGAGCUUAUGGAGGCUGCCUGGAGGAUUAACAUUCAGCCCAGGGACCGGCCGGUGGCGCAGCAGUUAAGCGUGCGCUUUUCGCUUCGGUGGCCCCGGGUUCGCCGGUUCGGAUCCCGGGUCCGGACAUGGCACCGCUUGGCACACCAUGCUGUGGAGACCCCAGAGGGCUCUCUUGCCCCUUCUGCCAUGUGAGGACACAGCGAGAAGAUGGCUGUCUGUGAACCAGGAAGUGGACCCUCACCAGACACGGAAUGCACUGGAGUCCUGCUCUUGGACUUCCCAGCCUGGAGAACUGUGAGAGACGAAUGCAGCUUGACUAGCCCUGAGCUAACAUCUGCUGCCAAUCCUCCUCUUCUUGCUGAGGAAGACUGGCCCUGAGCUAACAUCCAUGCCCAUCUUCCUCUACUUUCUAUGUGGGAUGCCUACCACAGCAUGGCUUGCCAAGUGGUGCCAUGUUUAUACCUGGGAUCCGAACCCGUGAACCCCCGGACACUGAAGCAGAAUGUGUGCACUCAACUGCUGCGUCCCCGGGCCGGCCACACAUUUAUUCUUAAAUAAUUAGCCCUGAGCUAACUGCUGCCAAUCCUCCUCUUUUUGCUGAGGAAGACUGGCCCUGAGCUAACAUCCAUGCCCAUCCUCCUCUACUUUAUAUGUGGGACACCUGCCACAGCAUGGCUUUUGCCAAGUGGGGCCAUGUCCGCACCCAGGAUCCGAACCAGCGAACCCCGGGCCACCGAAGCGGAACUUGUGCACUUAACCGCUGUGCCACCGGGCCGGCCCCUGAUAAAGCUUUUGAUUUUGAUCUUUUUCCAGAUAAAGAAGGACAAUUUAUAUUUGUCUCCCUCUCUUCCUCUUAGUUGGGUCAAAUCACUUCUAAACUACCAGUUGGCCUUUGUGAGAGGUGACUUGAUUUCUUAUUUUAAAACUAUUUAUAUUAUGGAAACUUUUCAAUAUAGACAAAACUACAGAACCAUAUAAAAUGAACCCCCACGUACCCAUCAACCAGCUCAGAUAUACACCAAAUCAAUAUAUUUAUCUCCAUUUGUUCUCCCAUCCAAUAGUAUUUUGAAGAAGCUCUCAUCCGUCAUAUAAAUUAAUCCCUAAAUAUUUAAGAAGUAUCUCUAAAAGAAAAGGACUAAAAAGAAACCCAAUUCCCAUUACUGUCCUAUAACAAUAAUUUCCUAGCAUCAUCAAGUGUCAUCUUUUACAAUUUGCUUGUUUGAGUGAGGAUCUAAAUAAGGCCUGUGAGAGUGUAUAAUUGGCCAACGUCUCUUAAGUCUCGUUCAGACUACAUUUAUAUUAGUACAGGCUCCUACUCUUUCUCUUUUAUUUUCCUUGCAAUUUGAUGAAGAAACCAGGUCCUUUGUCCUUCAUAUAAAAAUAUUUUAUUUGAUGGGAUUAUAUAGAUAAUAUUCUUUAGCAAUAUAUGUUGGCCGUCUUUCCUCUUAG